GUAACAGCUAAAUUUGCUCAUCCUGGUUUGCUUGUAGGAUGUGAAUGCAAGAACCUGCCAAGAAAACCAAUGUCCAAGAUGAUUGAUUAGUGCAGGACCUGAGAGAACCCCCUUCAAUGACAACCUGAAGCAGUUUCCAGUAUUGGAUUGAAAAGAUGGCCUUUGCUGCAUCUUCUUGAGCAAGGAAAGCCAAGAAACCUUUGCUUUGGAAGGAGAAAAUCUGGAAAGUAGGAAGAAAGAAAAGAAGCCCCCUGACUCCUCCUGAGCCCCAGACAGCCCAUGAACUGCCUUGCUGGGAAUGGUAGGACAGGCUGGACUCUGGAUUGCUCCCUCUGCAUGUGUGGAACUCCAGGAACUCCUGGUGCCGCCUGGGCCGAUGGAUUGGACGCCCCAGCCCCUCCGUUCCUGCCCAGCCACUGGGUCCGUGUCCAGUGGUGGCACUGCCAGCCCUGCAGUGGGAUGUAGCCUGGAAACUGCACAGAGCUGAGCCAAGGGAUUGAAAGGGACCAACCAAGGGAGGUGAAGAAAGAAUUAAAGUGAGGCAGCAGCCAAGCAGCAGCAAGUUGCUGUGUAAGCAGGUUUUUCCAAGUGCUGCCCAGCACAGGGAUCCGUGUGCUGGGACAGUGAUUGGCAGGAGGAAGGGGAGCCUUGGCCUCACCUGCCCAGCUCAGGCCAGGCCAAAGCCCUGCUCCAGCCCAGCUCUGCCAAGUGCCCUGGGCUGGGAGCAGCCAAAGGCAAGAGGCUGCAGCCCCGCCGGCCGGGCUGGGGGCUCCUGGUGCUGCCCGUGGGGUGGGAUGCUGGAAUUGCCUCUCUGGGUGUGUGCUGAGCUCUGGCUGCAGGGGACUGUCAGGCCUUGGUGGCUGUGAGUUCCUGUUCUUCUCCCUGGGAAACUGGAAAGAGUUAUUCAUUAGAUUGCAGAAAUGUAAUUUUGAGGGGACCCAGCAACUGUUUGUGUAGGAAAAGGUGAGGUGCUGCAGAGGGGAGGGAGGUGGCAUUUUGGAGGGGUCCCACUGAGGGGGGAGUGGAGAGCCUGGGGCUGGAGUGUGAGUUAUUAAACAGGGAAGAAGGGAAGGAUGCUUGGGAGGGAAACACUCAGGGAAUGUGUAGGGAUGGAAUGGAAAUUUGGGGUGUCAGGAAGAGAUAAUUGGUGAUGUAGAGGAAGGGAAAUGUUGGGGGUAAGACUUGAUCUCAUCUGUAGAGGACAGAAGGACCAUUUAGAGGUAAAGUGAGGCAGUGAGUGGUGGGCAGGUCGGGAAAAUUUGUGUUUGUAAAAUUUCAGGUCACCUGUAGCAGAGAGGAUGUACCUCCUGA